GUAUAAGCGUAACCCCCAGCAGCUGGGACAGGGGGGAAGCCCAAACACCAGAGGGGAGGGAGCAGGGACGGAGAACUCCGGAGAGGCAUUUCCAGGGCUGAAUCUUGGUAUUCGGCAGGUUUAAUGGAUCCCAGAUGGUCGGUGACUUCCAGAAAUGGACUUGGGCAGAAGACCUUCCAAGUCAACGUGCUCAUCCCUUCUUUCCCCCAAACCAGGAUUUCCCAUUCCCAAGCCCUUGGAGGCUGCGAGGAAAAGGAAGAUGACCCGGGACGCCCAGGCAGGCAGUCAGGAGCUGAGGAUGGAGACCAGAGAGGGCAAAUCCACGUGGCAGAAGCUCGUGGAAGAGGCUGUAUUGAGCGUCUCCUGGACACAGGAAGCCAGCGGGGAGGAAAAGGCCCUGGGAUCCCGCACGAGCAGGGGCUGCAAAGGCAGAUCGUGGGGAUCUGAGGAGGAAAGACCCACUGUCCUGGUUUAGGGCGAAUUUGGGAGAAAACCUGCGGGACGAGCCCCCCCCCCCCGCACUCCGACAGCAAACCCCCCCAGCCCCCCCCCCCCCCCCCCAGCUGCUUCGGCGGGAAGGAUUUCCUUGGAGAGAAGUGGAAAACAAAAACCCUGUUUUUUAACAGAAACAGUCCCCAGCACAAAAAAUGAAGCACAUCAGAGUAUUAAAACCCUUUCACCCCUCUGAAGAGAUGAAAAAAUUCAGAAAGUCUCUGGUGGGAGUGGCUGCCCAGUUCUCGGUCUCUGGCGCUGGGCAUGGCUGCUGCAGGUCACGAAAUGCAGGCUCUCGGUGUCUCUCGGUGUUUCCCAGAUCCCAGUCCGGAGCAGGUUGGAAUGGUAUUCAGGAAAAGGAAAAAAAAAAAAAAAAAAAAAAAAGCAAGGGCAAAAGCAAAAGCAGGAGCGAGAGAGCAAAGAGCCAGCAAGCAAGCAAGCCCUAUCCUCUCCCCUAGACUGUACAGACCCGUGGGGGGAGGUGAGCCGGCUGCUAACGAGACAAAACAAACCUUCACUUUUCGGCGCCAGUCCGGAAGUCACAGAACAAAGCAUCAAGC
rnacentral:lncRNA from 1 species